AUGAUUUAGUUCCCAGUAUUUAUUUAUCUUUCACUGCUGUCAGUGGGAGACUGCUGACACGCAAUCCACGCCCAUCCGAUAUGUAGGUGUCAUUUGUUUAUAAAGUACAUAUAUCUAUUGAGCGCACUGGCCGGGCAAUAUGUGGCCACCACUUCCGCUGGAUGUCAAGCAUAUGGCAGACAAAUGUUCCUCUCGACCAAUGUAGUCUUUGGCCCUUGGGCUCCACUGCAUUGCACUUGACACGCUUCCAAGGAGCAUUCGUAAGGACUUUGGACACUUUCCAAGGCAACGGAAGAAAGCGACUGCAAUGGACUUUGCGCCAAAUCCUGAGAGAUUGCGAGUGUGACUGGCAUUUUUAUAGGCUGCAGUUGAAUUAUCGACACAUUUUCUACAAACCACUUCUGCCAAGCAUUCUUGGAAACCUUCGCCGCAGGCCAGGCACAGAUAACGUGGAGAGCAGCAGACAGAGCGAAAGCAAUUAAAGCCACGUGCAAAGUUUACCUAAGGAUCCCGGGCAAAACUUCUUCUAGGCGCCAAGGUGGGUGACUUCAAGAAGGAUUGCUGCUCGAUUUUUUUCCUUAUUUGCCUGGGCAAAGAUCAGAGGGAAAGUCCUGGCGCCCCAGCGAAAGUGGCCCGGGGACUUGGAUUGCCAAUCGUUGGGAGUAGAUUGGUGUGGGGAUGCUGGGUUAAGCAAACUUAAUUAAUACGGAAAUACGCAGCUGAUUGAAGGCGUGCACAGAGAGAUAAUGUGGUCAUGAAUAAGCAUUGGAGUCACCAAAUCGUAUAUCAAUAAGUCAAGAAUUACAUAGAAACAUAUAAAUUGUAGAAA